rnacentral:rRNA from 1 species
GACGAACGCUGGCGGCGUGCUUAACACAUGCAAGUCGAACGGAAAGGCCCUGCUUUUGUUGGGUGCUCGAGUGGCGAACGGGUGAGUAACACGUGAGUAACCUGCCCUUGACUUUGGGAUAACUUCAGGAAACUGGGGCUAAUACCGGAUAGGAGCUCCUGCUGCAUGGUGGGGGUUGGAAAGUUUCGGCGGUUGGGGAUGGUCUCGCGGCUUAUCAGCUUGUUGGUGGGGUAGUGGCAUACCAAGGCUUUGACGGGUAGCCGGCCUGAGAGGGGGACCGGCGACAUGGGGACUGAGAGACGGCGCAGAAGGGAACGGGAGGCAGCAGGGGGGAGCAUGGCGGAGUGGGCGGGAGCGAGAGAUGAAGAUCCUCGGUGCGGGAUGACGGGUUAUGGGUGAAAAACAGUUGUGGCCGGAGACGAGGCGAGAGUGACGGUAACGGGUAAGAAAGCAACGGCUAACUACGUG